rnacentral:rRNA from 1 species
GUAGGGUGCAAGCGUUAAUCGGGAAUUACUGGGGCGUAAAGCGUGCGCAGGCGGUUGUGCAAGACAGAUGUGAAAUACCCCGGGGCUCAACCUGGGAAUUGCAUUUGUGACUGUACGGCUAGAGUGUGUCAGAGGGGGGUAGAAUUCCACGUGUAGCAGUGAAAUGCGUAGAGAUGUGGAGGAAUACCGAUGGCGAAGGCAGCCCCCUGGGAUAACACUGACGCUCAUGCACGAAAGCGUGGGGAGCAAACAGGAUUAGAUACCCUGGUAGUCCACGCCCUUAACGAUGUCAACUAGGUUGUCGGGUCUUAAUUGACUUGGUAACGCAGCUAACGCGUGAAGUUGACCGCCUGGGGAGUACGGUCGCAAGAUUA